rnacentral:rRNA from 1 species
CACGUAGGCACCAAGCGUUGUCCGGAUUUAUUGGGCGUAAAGAGCUCGUAGGCGGUUCGGUAAGUCGGGUGUGAAAACUCUGGGCUCAACCCAGAGCCGCCACCCGAUACUGCUGUGACUCGAGUGCGGUAGGGGAGCGGGGAAUUCCUGGUGUAGCGGUGAAAUGCGCAGAUAUUCGGAGGAACACCAGUGGCGAAGGCGGCUCACUGGUCCGGUACUGACGCUGAGGUGCGAAAGCGUGGGGAGCAAACAGG